AGUUUGAUCCUGGCUCAGGACKAACGCUGGCGGCGUGCUUAACACAUGCAAGUCGAACGGAAAGGCCCUUCGGGGUACUCGAGUGGCGAACGGGUGAGUAACACGUGGGUGAUCUGCCCUGCACUUUGGGAUAAGCYUGGGAAACUGGGUYUAAUACCGAAUACACCCUUCUGGCUGCAUGGUCUGGGAGGGGAAAGCUUUUGCGGUGUGGGAUGGGCCCGCGGCCUAUCAGCUUGUUGGUGAGGUUAUGGCUUACCAAGGCGACGACGGGUAGCCGKCCUGWGAGGGUGACCGGCCWCMCUGGGACUGAGAUACGGCCCAGACUCCUACGGGAGGCAGCAGUGGGGAAUAUUGCACAAUGGGCGCAAGCCUGAUGCAGCGACGCCGCG
rnacentral:rRNA from 1 species